GAUGAACGCUGGCGGCGUGCCUAAUACAUGCAAGUCGAGCGAACGGACGAGAAGCUUGCUUCUCUGAUGUUAGCGGCGGACGGGUGAGUAACACGUGGAUAACCUACCUAUAUGACUGGGAGAACUUCGGGAAACCGGAGCUGAUACCGGAUAAUAUUUUGAACCGCAUGGUUCAAAAGUGAAAGACGGUCUUGCUGUCACUUAUAGAUGGAUCCGCGCUGGAUUAGCUAGUUGGUAAGGUAACGGCUUACCAAGGCAACGAUGCAUAGCCGACCUGAGAGGGUGAUCGGCCACACUGGAACUGAGACACGGUCCAGACUCCUACGGGAGGCAGCAGUAGGGAAUCUUCCGCAAUGGGCGAAAGCCUGACGGAGCAACGCCGCGUGAGUGAUGAAGGUCUUCGGAUCGUAAAACUCUGUUAUUAGGGAAGAACAUAUGUGUAAGUAAAUGUGCACAUCUUGACGGUACCUAAUCAGAAAGCAACGGCUAACUACGUG
rnacentral:rRNA from 1 species